rnacentral:misc_RNA from 1 species
CGAACGCAUCUCCGUAGCUCUCGGUUCAACUCGCACAAAUCCAAAACUUUCGCCCGUACUCUCGGCGUAGAUAUAUAAUGCUUCAUCGGGUUGGUCACUAUGAGGAUUUCAGUUGUUAACCGUCAGCCUUAGAGGGUUGGUGCAUCAGAAAGGAUUGGAAAAGAUCGAGAUGAGCUACAAUGAGUAGGUUGUCAUUCAGGCCUCGUCCGCUUGACAUUCACAAGAAACUCCCUAUUGUCAAGUCUGUGAAAGAAUUGGAAGAUGACGAAACCCCCACGUCUACCCGCAAUUCCCAACUGCUUCGUUUUGCGGCCGAGGUAGAUAAUGAGGUACAUCAAGUGCCUUGCAAGAAAUUGGCUCCUGAUAUACCCACUCCUCAAUUUGUUGUUGUUGAUACAUAUGAG